GUCUAAUAUUCUUUAUCUUCCUUAAACACUGUGUUAUUGCAGUGUGCCGUUACUGACACAACAACCUGGGCUUCGGGGAGUAGGCGGUUUCAAACCCAAAAACAUCUGGCAGGGUUUUACUGCUCCAUGAUGGAGUGAAUGCUGUUUCAAAGCCAGACAUUGAGUUGUAAACAAAAGCCCAAUAAAAGAUCUCCACCUGCAGUCCAGGACACGGAAAUACAAUUUUGGAGAAAAGAAGGGUGUGGCAGACUGGGUCUGACAGGAUACUGUGACUCUGUGAUCACAGGCCUCUCGUCUACCCGGCGCACUCCUGCUGGUUUACUGAUGAUGUGGUCCAGAGACUCGGGCUGCUGCAGUUGACUCAGGUCGUAGUCCUGGU